rnacentral:ncRNA from 2 species
GGUGAUCACGAGGUUCGAGGUGCCCCACGGCGUACGCCACGCCACGGGGAGAAUCUGGGAAGCCGGUGCAAGUCCGGCACAGGGCCCGCUGCGGUAACUCAGGCACAGACCUGGGAAGUCCGAAGACCGGCCUCGAUCCGACCCGGGCG